GACGAACGCUGGCGGCGUGCUUAACACAUGCAAGUCGAACGAAGAGCGAUGGAAGCUUGCUUCUAUCAAUCUUAGUGGCGAACGGGUGAGUAACGCGUAAUCAACCUUCCCUUCAGGGGGGGACUACAGUAGGAAACGACUGCUAAUGCCGCAUACGAUCUGACCUCGGCAUCGAGGAUAGAUGAAAGGUGGCCUCUAUUUAUAAGCUAUCACUGAAGGAGGGGAUUGCGUCUGAUUAGCUAGUUGGAGGGGUAAGGGCCCACCAAGGCGAUGAUCAGUAGCCGGUCUGAGAGGAUGGACGGCCACAUUGGGACUGAGACACGGCCCAGACUCCUACGGGAGGCAGCAGUGGGGAAACUUCCGCAAUGGACGAAAGUCUGACGGAGCAACGCCGCGGGAGGGAUGACGGCCUUCGGGUUGUAAAGCUCUGUUAAUCGGGACGAAAGGCCUUCUUGCGAAUAGUUAGAAGGAUUGACGGUACCGGAAUAGAAAGCAACGGCUAACUACGUG
rnacentral:rRNA from 1 species